UACGGGGGGUGCAAGCGUUGUUCGGAAUUACUGGGCGUAAAGCGCACGUAGGCGGCUUUGUAAGUUAGAGGUGAAAGCCCAGGGCUUAACCCUGGAAUUGCCUUUAAGACUGCAUCGCUAGAAUCGUGGAGAGGUGAGUGGAAUUCCGAGUGUAGAGGUGAAAUUCGUAGAUAUUCGGAAGAACACCAGUGGCGAAGGCGACUCGCUGGACACGUAUUGACGCUGAGGUGCGAAAGCGUGGGGAGCAAACAGG
rnacentral:rRNA from 1 species